AUUGAACGCUGGCGGCAUGCCUUACACAUGCAAGUCGAACGGCAGCACGGGAGCAAUCCUGGUGGCGAGUGGCGAACGGGUGAGUAAUAUAUCGGAACGUGCCCAGUAGUGGGGGAUAACUGCUCGAAAGAGCAGCUAAUACCGCAUACGACCUGAGGGUGAAAGGGGGGGAUCGCAAGACCUCUCGCUAUUGGAGCGGCCGAUAUCAGAUUAGCUAGUUGGUGGGGUAAAGGCCUACCAAGGCAACGAUCUGUAGUUGGUCUGAGAGGACGACCAGCCACAAGGGGACUGAGACACGGCCCAGACUCCUACGGGAGGCAGCAGUGGGGAAUUUUGGACAAUGGGCGCAAGCCUGAUCCAGCAAUGCCGCGUGCAGGAAGAAGGCCUUCGGGUUGUAAACUGCUUUUGUCAGGGAAGAAAUCCUCUAGGUUAAUACCCUUGGGGGGAUGACGGUACCCAAAGAAUAAGCACCGGCUAACUUCGUGCCAGCCGCCGCGGUAACAC
rnacentral:rRNA from 1 species